UACAGAGGUGGCAAGCGUUGUUCGGAAUUACUGGGCGUAAAGGGCGAGUAGGCGGCCUUCUAAGUCAGACGUGAAAUCCCCCGGCUUAACCUGGGAACUGCGUCUGAUACUGGGAGGCUAGAGUAUGGGAGAGGGAUGUGGAAUUCCAGGUGUAGCGGUGAAAUGCGUAGAUAUCUGGAGGAACACCGGUGGCGAAGGCGGCAUCCUGGACCAUUACUGACGCUGAUUCGCGAAAGCUAGGGGAGCAAACGGG
rnacentral:rRNA from 1 species